rnacentral:rRNA from 1 species
AGAGCGAACGCUGGCGGCAGGCCUAACACAUGCAAGUCGAACGGAUCCUUCGGGAUUAGUGGCGGACGGGUGAGUAACACGUGGGAACGUGCCUUUUGGUUCGGAACAACUCAGGGAAACUUGAGCUAAUACCGGAUAAGCCUUUCGAGGGAAAGAUUUAUCGCCAUUAGAGCGGCCCGCGUAGGAUUAGCUAGUUGGUGGGGUAAAGCCCACCAAGGCUACGAUCCUUAGCUGGUCUGAGAGGAUGAUCAGCCACAUUGGGACUGAGACACGGCCCAAACUCCUACGGGAGGCAGCAGUGGGGAAUCUUGCGCAAUGGGCGAAAGCCUGACGCAGCCAUGCCGCGUGAAUGAUGAAGGUCUAGGAUUGUAAAUUCUUCACCGGGACGAUAAUGACGGUACCGGAGAAGAAGCCCGCUAACUCGUGCCAGCAGCCGC